UGUUGGAGUUCCUAUGUUUGAGCCCUUGCGUGAGUGUCGAUGUUAAUUUUUACUCGGUUGUUUGGUAGAGUUUCGGUAGAGCUAAAAUUCUAAAAUAGUUGUGAGUUAGUGGGUCAGUAGGAGAAAAAUAGGGGAUACGUUGUCAUAUUUUAUUUUUCUUAUUUUUUUCAAAUUUUUAUUUUCUUCCCUAAUUUCUAACGUCAAUUUUUUUCUCUUUUCCC
rnacentral:lncRNA from 1 species